rnacentral:rRNA from 1 species
CCCUGCAACUCACAACUGGCAACCCACUGAAGCUAAGCAGGUGUGAGCCUGGUCAGUACCUGGAUGGGAGACCUCCUGGGAAAACUUAGGUUGCUGCUGGAA